rnacentral:rRNA from 1 species
CCGCGUGAGUGAUGAAGGUUUUCGGAUCGUAAAGCUCUGUUGUUAGGGAAGAACAAGUGCCGUUCAAAUAGGGCGGCACCUUGACGGUACCUAACCAGAAAGCCACGGCUAACUACGUGCCAGCAGCCGCGGUAAUACGUAGGUGGCAAGCGUUGUCCGGAAUUAUUGGGCGUAAAGGGCUCGCAGGCGGUUUCUUAAGUCUGAUGUGAAAGCCCCCGGCUCAACCGGGGAGGGUCAUUGGAAACUGGGGAACUUGAGUGCAGAAGAGGAGAGUGGAAUUCCACGUGUAUCGGUGAAAUGCGUAUAGAUGUGGAGGAACACCAGUGGCGAACGCGACUCUCUGGUCUGGGACUGACGCUGAGGAGCGAAAGCGUG